CCUUAUCAUUUAGAGGAAGGAGAAGUCAUGACAAGGUUACCAUAGGUGAACUUAUGGUAGGAUCAUU
rnacentral:rRNA from 1 species